rnacentral:lncRNA from 1 species
GGGAUGCUUUGAAUUUGGGUUAAAACAGAUUGAUUUUGGGUGUAAAUACUCUUUUUAGAAAUGUUUUUAGAUUCCAGUAGUAUCCUGCCAAGAGACAAAAGUGUUGUGACUUCAUGCGAUGUGUCUAGAUGCAAAUUGCUUUAUUCAACAAGGUAUAACAAAAAAAAAUUUGAGUGUAUCCAUUUCUGGGCUUGAUUUCAGAAAGGGUCAUUUAGUUCCCAGAAACGUUGGCAUGAUUUAUCUUAUUCAUUUAGGGAGUUCUGGCAGCAAUUUACACACAGAGAGUGGCGACCAUAAAGGUUUGAAAAUACCUUGUAUUUCUGUGUAUAAAAUGCCCCCAUAUAUAAGAUGACCCCUAUUUUGUUAGCCCAAAAUUAAGAAAUACAUAUUUUAAACAUCUAUAUCACUGAAGUCCCCACUGGUUCCUUCUCCCACUCACACUCCGGUAGGCAGCUCCCCAAGAUCCAGUCUGGACACUGUUUCCCUAGACCACCACUCUGCUUUUGGCAGCAGCAGUAACCAAAGGGUUAUGCCCUGGCAAGGCCCUUACCAUGCGGUAUAUAACUGUAGUCAGGAGCUGUGAGGUCUUGGCGUGACCAAGAGUGAUGUGAGAAAGCAUGCUGUUGUGUAAGAUCUCCCAGACCUGCGCACACAAUCGAUCAAAUUCAAGAAGAAGCGCUUCCUCUGCUUCAAGUAUGUCAGCAGACUGCAAAGGUGUACAACACAGCCUAUGCCCGCAGGAACCUGGCAGUAGUGAACCCAACAGUCAGCUGAGUAUUCUGUCAGCGAGUAGUCAAGUUUUGUGCCCAAAUUGCGUAGUAAGUACCUUAAGUAUUUGGCUUAAUAAUAUGAUUUUUGAAGGAGCUCCUGCCACAUGCGACUGACUUGGUUGGCUGUCGGGCUCCGAAUACAAGUGUUUUUUUAACCCCUGUGGUGACUUUCCGUAUAUAAGACGACCCCCAAUUUUAGAGAAAAAAAUAGUCUUAUACAUGUAAAAAUAUGGUACAUUUCUUUCUUUCAAAACUGCUUGAAUUCUGUGAGAAUUCAACAAACAAGUGUAGUGUUUUUGAAUAACCUUCAAAGGUGGAAAUAUAUGUGUAAAUAAAUACCACCCCUCAUACAAAUCGAUAUCUCAGAUUGUAUACUUUUAGAAAAAAACAAAAAACUUAUAGUGUUAAACUGCUGAUACACUGCAUACAGGGGGAUAGUCGACAACCUACUCACACAUCCGAGUGCUCUCUGGACUCUCAGUCUUUUGCACUUUUUCAAAGAAAAGAGGAAGCAUGAAAAGAACAGUUUCUAAUGUAGAUAAACUUUUCAAAAAUAUUGCAAAUAUAGAUAAGAAAACAAACUCACAUAUUAUGGAGCAUUUAAAUGCCGACCCAAACAAAGGUGAUAUGUGUACAUAUUGGUGACACUCUCAAUACUCAUGGGAAGCAUAUGUAUUUGUGUCCACUCACUAAUAUUCGAUGAUUUACAAAAAUAAAAGCAGAGUCCUUAAAGCUUACUUCAUGUGCCAGUUAUCACUUCAAUGCUUUACAUUUAAAAGUCCUGUUUUUCUCUCCAGGAUAUCCUUCAGUCGCAGCCCUUGGCUCAGUGCUACACAUGGGACCCCAAUCACAUGAAUUUUGCCCUGUCCGGGGCUUCCUCAGAUGAUUUCUGUCUUCUCUCUCAAUCACCAUUUAAGAUGCAAUUUUGGUGCCAUCUCUUGUUCCUCAGUUGGUCAAUCUCAAUAAUAAGGGUUUGUAGUGGAAGUCUGAUUGUCAAUUACAAUUAAUAAAGUAUUUUCAUUGCAACUUGCAGUCUGCAGUAAAUGGAAAUAAAAUGUAUACAAGAAUAUACAGGGAGUGCAGAAUUAUUAGGCAAGUUGUAUUUUUGAGGAUUAAUUUUAUUAUUGAACAACAACCAUGUUCU